AUUGAACGCUGGCGGCAGGCCUAACACAUGCAAGUCGAGCGGAGCGGCGGACGGGUGAGUAAUGUAUGGGGAUCUGCCCGAUAGAGGGGGAUAACUACUGGAAACGGUGGCUAAUACCGCAUACUGUCGGAUGAACCCAUAUGGGAUUAGCUAGUAGGUAAGGUAAUGGCUUACCUAGGCGACGAUCCCUAGCUGGUCUGAGAGGAUGAUCAGCCACACUGGGACUGAGACACGGCCCAGACUCCUACGGGAGGCAGCAGUGGGGAAUAUUGGACAAUGGGCGAAAGCCUGAUCCAGCCAUGCCGCGUGUGUGAAGAAGGUCUUCGGAUUGUAAAGCACUUUAAGUUGGGAGGCGUUACCAACAGAAUAAGCACCGGCUAACUUCGUGCCAGCAGCCGCGGUAAUAC
rnacentral:rRNA from 1 species